UUAAGCGACUAAGCGUACACGGUGGAUGCCCUGGCAGUCAGAGGCGAUGAAGGACGUGCUAAUCUGCGAUAAGCGUCGGUAAGGUGAUAUGAACCGUUAUAACCGGCGAUUUCCGAAUGGGGAAACCCAGUGUGAUUCGUCACACUAUCAUUAACUGAAUCCAUAGGUUAAUGAGGCGAACCGGGGGAACUGAAACAUCUAAGUACCCCGAGGAAAAGAAAUCAACCGAGAUUCCCCCAGUAGCGGCGAGCGAACGGGGAGCAGCCCAGAGCCUGAAUCAGUGUGUGUGUUAGUGGAAGCGUCUGGAAAGGCGUGCGAUACAGGGUGACAGCCCCGUACACAAAAAUGCACAUAUUGUGAGCUCGAUGAGUAGGGCGGGACACGUGGUAUCCUGUCUGAAUAUGGGGGACCAUCCUCCAAGGCUAAAUACUCCUGACUGACCGAUAGUGAACCAGUACCGUGAGGGAAAGGCGAAAAGAACCCCGGCGAGGGGAGUGAAAAAGAACCUGAAACCGUGUACGUACAAGCAGUGGGAGCACGCUUAGGCGUGUGACUGCGUACCUUUUGUAUAAUGGGUCAGCGACUUAUAUUCUGUAGCAAGGUUAACCGAAUAGGGGAGCCGAAGGGAAACCGAGUCUUAACUGGGCGUUAAGUUGCAGGGUAUAGACCCGAAACCCGGUGAUCUAGCCAUGGGCAGGUUGAAGGUUGGGUAACACUAACUGGAGGACCGAACCGACUAAUGUUGAAAAAUUAGCGGAUGACUUGUGGCUGGGGGUGAAAGGCCAAUCAAACCGGGAGAUAGCUGGUUCUCCCCGAAAGCUAUUUAGGUAGCGCCUCGUGAAUUCAUCUCCGGGGGUAGAGCACUGUUUCGGCAAGGGGGUCAUCCCGACUUACCAACCCGAUGCAAACUGCGAAUACCGGAGAAUGUUAUCACGGGAGACACACGGCGGGUGCUAACGUCCGUCGUGAAGAGGGAAACAACCCAGACCGCCAGCUAAGGUCCCAAAGUCAUGGUUAAGUGGGAAACGAUGUGGGAAGGCCCAGACAGCCAGGAUGUUGGCUUAGAAGCAGCCAUCAUUUAAAGAAAGCGUAAUAGCUCACUGGUCGAGUCGGCCUGCGCGGAAGAUGUAACGGGGCUAAACCAUGCACCGAAGCUGCGGCAGCGACACUAUGUGUUGUUGGGUAGGGGAGCGUUCUGUAAGCCUGUGAAGGUGUACUGUGAGGUAUGCUGGAGGUAUCAGAAGUGCGAAUGCUGACAUAAGUAACGAUAAAGCGGGUGAAAAGCCCGCUCGCCGGAAGACCAAGGGUUCCUGUCCAACGUUAAUCGGGGCAGGGUGAGUCGACUCCUAAGGCGAGGCCGAAAGGCGUAGUCGAUGGGAAACAGGUUAAUAUUCCUGUACUUGGUGUUACUGCGAAGGGGGGACGGAGAAGGCUAUGUUGGCCGGGCGACGGUUGUCCCGGUUUAAGCGUGUAGGCUGGUUUUCCAGGCAAAUCCGGAAAACUAAGGCUGAGGCGUGAUGACGAGGCACUACGGUGCUGAAGCAACAAAUGCCCUGCUUCCAGGAAAAGCCUCUAAGCAUCAGGUAACAUCAAAUCGUACCCCAAACCGACACAGGUGGUCAGGUAGAGAAUACCAAGGCGCUUGAGAGAACUCGGGUGAAGGAACUAGGCAAAAUGGUGCCGUAACUUCGGGAGAAGGCACGCUGAUAUGUAGGUGAAGUCCCUCGCGGAUGGAGCUGAAAUCAGUCGAAGAUACCAGCUGGCUGCAACUGUUUAUUAAAAACACAGCACUGUGCAAACACGAAAGUGGACGUAUACGGUGUGACGCCUGCCCGGUGCCGGAAGGUUAAUUGAUGGGGUCAGCGCAAGCGAAGCUCUUGAUCGAAGCCCCGGUAAACGGCGGCCGUAACUAUAACGGUCCUAAGGUAGCGAAAUUCCUUGUCGGGUAAGUUCCGACCUGCACGAAUGGCGUAAUGAUGGCCAGGCUGUCUCCACCCGAGACUCAGUGAAAUUGAACUCGCUGUGAAGAUGCAGUGUACCCGCGGCAAGACGGAAAGACCCCGUGAACCUUUACUAUAGCUUGACACUGAACAUUGAGCCUUGAUGUGUAGGAUAGGUGGGAGGCUUUGAAGUGUGGACGCCAGUCUGCAUGGAGCCGACCUUGAAAUACCACCCUUUAAUGUUUGAUGUUCUAACGUUGACCCGUAAUCCGGGUUGCGGACAGUGUCUGGUGGGUAGUUUGACUGGGGCGGUCUCCUCCUAAAGAGUAACGGAGGAGCACGAAGGUUGGCUAAUCCUGGUCGGACAUCAGGAGGUUAGUGCAAUGGCAUAAGCCAGCUUGACUGCGAGCGUGACGGCGCGAGCAGGUGCGAAAGCAGGUCAUAGUGAUCCGGUGGUUCUGAAUGGAAGGGCCAUCGCUCAACGGAUAAAAGGUACUCCGGGGAUAACAGGCUGAUACCGCCCAAGAGUUCAUAUCGACGGCGGUGUUUGGCACCUCGAUGUCGGCUCAUCACAUCCUGGGGCUGAAGUAGGUCCCAAGGGUAUGGCUGUUCGCCAUUUAAAGUGGUACGCGAGCUGGGUUUAGAACGUCGUGAGACAGUUCGGUCCCUAUCUGCCGUGGGCGCUGGAGAACUGAGGGGGGCUGCUCCUAGUACGAGAGGACCGGAGUGGACGCAUCACUGGUGUUCGGGUUGUCAUGCCAAUGGCACUGCCCGGUAGCUAAAUGCGGAAGAGAUAAGUGCUGAAAGCAUCUAAGCACGAAACUUGCCCGAGAUGAGUUCUCCCUGACUCCUUGAGAGUCCUGAAGGAACGUUGAAGACGACGACGUUGAUAGGCCGGGUGUGUAAGCGCAGCGAUGCGUUGAGCUAACCGGUACUAAUGAACCGUGAGGCUUAACCUU
rnacentral:rRNA from 1 species